rnacentral:lncRNA from 1 species
AUCCGGAACCAGAUCAUCCGCGAGCUUCAGGUCCUGCACGAGUGCAACUCCCCGUACAUCGUGGGCUUCUACGGCGCCUUCUACAGCGACGGGGAGAUCAGUAUCUGCAUGGAGCACAUGGUGAGCACCCGGCCAGGAACCACAGGGAGGAAGGUGUCUCCCUGCCGGGGCCUCAGAGCCCCUGUCCUCAGAGGCAGCAGCUCAGCAGCUUCAGAGGGUUCCUUGGGUGUCACCGGGGCCUCUUCUCAGCUCUGUUUCCAUGGAGGGUGGGGAAGUCCUCCCUGGUCAGCCUAGAGAGAAUCCCCUGUCUCUGCCUGGGGCACCGUGUUUCCAGUGUGCUGGACCUGGGUGGUCCUUGUCUGG